rnacentral:rRNA from 1 species
UACGUAGGGUGCAAGCGUUAAUCGGAAUUACUGGGCGUAAAGCGUGCGCAGGCGGUUCGCUAAGACAGGUGUGAAAUCCCCGGGCUUAACCUGGGAACUGCAUUUGUGACUGCAUCGCUGGAGUACGGCAGAGGGGGAUGGAAUUCCGCGUGUAGCAGUGAAAUGCGUAGAUAUGCGGAGGAACACCGAUGGCGAAGGCAAUCCCCUGGGCCUGUACUGACGCUCAUGCACGAAAGCGUGGGGAGCAAACAGG